rnacentral:rRNA from 1 species
AGUGAACGCUGGCGGUAGGCCUAACACAUGCAAGCCGAACGGCAGCACAGUAAGAGCUUGCUCUUACGGGUGGCGAGUGGCGGACGGGUGAGGAAUACAUCGGAAUCUACUUUUUCGUGGGGGAUAGCGUAGGGAAACUUACGCUAAUACCGCAUACGACCUACGGGUGAAAGCAGGGGAUCUUCGGACCUUGCGCGAUUGAAUGAGCCGAUGUCGGAUUAGCUAGUUGGCGGGGUAAAGGCCCACCAAGGCGACGAUCCGUAGCUGGUCUGAGAGGAUGAUCAGCCACACUGGAACUGAGACACGGUCCAGACUCCUACGGGAGGCAGCAGUGGGGAAUAUUGGACAAUGGGCGCAAGCCUGAUCCAGCCAUACCGCGUGGGUGAAGAAGGCCUUCGGGUUGUAAAGCCCUUUUGUUGGGAAAGAAAAGCAGCAGGUUAAUACCCCGCUGUUCUGACGGUACCCAAAGAAUAAGCACCGGCUAACUUCGUG